UCAAAAUCUCAUCAGUAGGGUUUAAGGGCUACGAAACCACAUAAGUUGAAAACAAAUCACAAAAAACCACGGCAAACGCUUUCCAAUAUCACAAGCCGCAACAACCCUCUCUGUCUCUGUCUCUGUCUCUGUCUCUGUCUCUCUCUCUCUCUGUUUACAGAUUGCAACUGCGAUGUUGCCGAGAUGGAGCAGAGCUGUGACUUAUCUCUCUAGGGUUUCAUCACACAAGAACAACAUGGUAACUAGAAGAGAUUUUCAUGGUUUCUCAUGCCGAAGCUAUUCCAAAGUCGCCGCUGCCACUGCCACCGAGGUGCCGAUCGCAGCCGAUUCUGCUGAGAAAGGUUAUGUGAGUACACCCGAGAAAGUUAUUGUCAGCCUGGUAAACCUAAACAAAUAACUUGGCUUAUGUGGUAUGUAUUGCUGUUUUUAGAAGUAUAAUUUAAUUGCAACCUUACCAAUAAGCUAUUUUGUGGUCUGAUGGUGAGAUUUUUUUACUGAAGGUUGUGUUAUCAAGUCUAUGUUAUGUUCUCUGGUAAUACCCAAUUGAUGUUAGAAAGAAAAUAAAACUCUCAUGCACUAUCUGACUCUUCUUGUCAUCUACAUUAGAUGAUAUACUGUUGUGUGCUGUUCAAUUUUCUAGUGCUGAAUA